rnacentral:sRNA from 1 species
CACAGCUGACGUGGGGGUGUGUGUCCCUCUCCCGCAGGAACUCUCUGUUUCUCUCCAGAAUAGCUCCAGAAGCUUCGAAAAAGCUUCACCGAAGGAAAAACAAUAAGAAACAAUAGCAGCUUGCGUCCGUCAGAGACGUCAUCGUUUGUCACUUGACAUUUGGAAUACACGAAGCACGACGCACGAUGCACGACGCACGAAUAUCGCGACGCGUGCGCCUCCCCAAGUGCCCAGCCCUGGAGAAGCGCCAAACGUUCGAAACGGGGCUCUGAGUCUCAAGAACCCUAUCUCAGAAUGCUUUGCAGGAAUCUUAAGUUCUUUAACGAUAAUAAAUACGAAUCAAAUUGGAAAACUUUAAUAUUUCAGAAGGUUGCCUAGAUUUGUGACCGAGCUCUGACUUUAUAAUUAUAAAGGCAGAAAAGCUACGACGCGCGACUACGAGUAUUCUCCAAUAAAUGUCUAUAUAUGUAUGUAUCUACUGCGGGUAUAUUUUGAUACCAUUAUGGAAAGAAAGAGGAAGCGAGAAGGCGACGAGGACGAAGAUAAUAAGGUUCUCAAGAAAGAAGGAUGGAGGAUCAUGAUCAAACAAACACUAGACUAAAUCCCAAUUAGUACGUCCACAGGAAACAAAAAUCCUCACAAUUUAUGCGCUUAAAUGGAAACAAAUUUCUCAAAUGCUUUCGAACACUUAAAAAAAUGCAAAUGCGAUCCCAUGCAUUCUCGGCAGAAUCCAUUGCAUGAAGCACAUCUUACACCCUACCGAAUUAUUAACGGAAACUAUAGCCAAUAGACUUCACCAAACAAUCAACCUGUCCCGCGUUAUAUAUGGGGUCUUAAGAUCCUUCUGCGUGAGGCAGACCCGCCUAGGAGAGCAUCCGUAUUAUCAGGUACCCCCAAACUGAAGACGUCUUAACGAUUAAAAAGUAAAACAAAAACUGAAAUGAAUCGGAAUAUUUUGAUCCGAUUUUUCAGACAUUUGGUAUACAAAAUGCUUUCAACUUGAGCCUCUGAAUGCGUAAAAAUAAAUAAUAAUAAAUGGAAAUAUGAAAAAACUACCUGAUUU